CGGGGCUUCCCUGAGGCGCGCCGAGAGGCGGUGGCCCACUUCCGGCAAUAAUCGCCUGGUCGCCGUCAGGUGCCGGCCCAGGUGGCAGGCGCGCCCGUUGGGCACUGGGGGACGCGGGCGCGUCAGGUGAAGACUGGGGGCUGCAGGCGCCUUAGGAGAACUAUGCCAUUUUUGGGUCAGGACUGGAGAUCUCCUGGAUGGAGUUGGAUUAAGACAGAAGAUGGCUGGAAGAGUUGUGAAUCUUGUAGUCAGAAACUUGAAAGAGAGAAUAACCAUUGUAACAUCAGUCACAGCAUGAGCUUCGGGUCCACCUGUUUGGAAGCACCCAGGCGGCUUGGAGAGGUCCGGCCUUCGGGUGCGACCCGCAGGGGUUGCCUUGCCCGGCUCGCGGAACGGACGUUUACCUGUCGCAGCUACGAACCCACCAACGACACCAAGCACUUGCCGGGCA
rnacentral:lncRNA from 1 species